GCCCGAGUGACGAAAUAGGUAGACGUAAGGGAUUUAAAAUCCCUCGGCUUAAACAGCCGUGCCGGUUCGAUUCCGGCCUCGGGCACCA
rnacentral:tRNA from 2 species